GUUCCUGGCUCAGGACGAACGCUGGCGGCGUGCCUAACACAUGCAAGUCGAGCGGAGACAGUGAGUAGCUUGCUAUGAGCUGUUUUAGCGGCGGACGGGUGAGUAACGCGUGAGCAACCUUUCCCAGACAGGGGAAUAACACACCGAAAGGUGUACUAAUACCGCAUAAGACCACGGAAUCACAUGGUUCUGGGGUAAAAGAAUUAUCGGUUUGGGGUGGGCUCGCGUCCGAUUAGGUAGUUGGUGAGGUAACGGCCC
rnacentral:rRNA from 1 species